rnacentral:rRNA from 1 species
CAGUCGCCGCGGGAAUACGAGGGGGGCAAGCGUUGCUCGGAAUGACUGGGCGUAAAGGGAGCGUAGGCGGAUUGUUUAGUUAGGCGUGAAAUUCCUGGGCUUAACCUGGGGACUGCGCUUAAUACAGGCAGUCUAGAGUGAGGAAGAGGGUUGUGGAAUCCCCAGUGUAGAGGUGAAAUUCGUAGAUAUUGGGAAGAACACCGGUGGCGAAGGCGGCAACCUGGUCCUUGACUGACGCUGAGGCGCGAAAGCGUGGGGAGCAAACAGGAUUAGAUACCCCGGUAGUCCCUGUCUCUUAUAC